rnacentral:lncRNA from 1 species
GGAAAAUGGAAAUCAGUUGGCCUACCUUGAGUUCUGAUAGUAAGACAUAGAAGAAAGAGUUCAAGGCCAUAUGGGGUCUAGAACAUAAAAUUUACCAUGGGUGUUCCGUAGGUAGGUAGUGGAAAUUUUCUUAUGAAAACUGAAGUGAUUCCAUACUAAGCAUUAUCAGAUGCACUUCCUAUAUUCACUGGGAACUAACCUACUAAGAAGUACAAUUGAGCUUUGUCUAGAGGUUGGUGGAUGGCAUAACUUAGAAAAUUAUUUUCUGUUUUUGACUUUGAGUCAAAGGUUUGGAAAUGGUCUCUUUCUAGACUUCAUAAUUAGAGAAAUGUAGUUUUAGUGUGUAUUUGGUUAUCAUGACCCAUGUGACAUUUACUCAGUUUCCCCAAAAUAGGGCAGUGAGUAGGAUUAGAAAUAUUACAGGUGUGAAAAAUUUAAGAAAUAAAGACAUGGAAAUAAAUGAAAAGCAGGGGCGCAAUGGGAUGAUCCAGCUCUGAUGGAGACUGGAUUUAACAAAGGGAAUGAAUGAAAACCUGUACGUUUAUUUUAUAGGUAUAGACACUAAAGGGUUUUAGUGUGGAAAAACUUCUUGAGGUAAACAGGAUGAAAUUGAGAAAAAAACAUGGUUGGGGCUUAACAGGUUAUGUCCAUCUCUUCUACCUCUGGCAGCUGGAUUUUGAGAUCAAGGCUAUUGAACUAGUGAAUUCCACCGUAAGCAUGGAACUUGGAACUUUGCUACCAGUGGGAGUUAUCAUGCAAAGGGGAGUUUCCCUCAUAGCCUGGCACCGCAGGGUUCCCCAAAUCAGGUCUCAACUGUCCAGGUUUCA